CCUACGGGUGGCAGCAGUAGGGAAUAUUGCUCAAUGGGGGAAACCCUGACGCAGCAACGCCGCGUGGAGGAUGAAGGUUUUCGGAUUGUAAACUCCUUUUGUUAGAGAAGAUAGUGACGGUAUCUAACGAGUAAGCACCGGCUAAAUACGUGCCAGCAGCCGCGGUAAUAAGGAGGGUGCAAGAGUUACUCGGAAUCACUGGGCGUAAAGAGCGCGUAGGCGGGAUAGCAAGUCAGAUGUGAAAUCCUAUGGCUUAACCAUAGAACUGCAUUUGAAACUGUUAUUCUAGAGUAUGGGAGAGGUAGGUGGAAUUCUAUGUGUAGCGGUAAAAUCCGUAGAGAUCAAGAGGAAUACUCAUUGCGAAGGCGACCCUCUAGAACAUAACUGACGCUGAGGCGCGAAAGCGUGGGGAGCGAACAGGAUUAGAUACCCCUGUAGUC
rnacentral:rRNA from 1 species